rnacentral:rRNA from 1 species
GACGGAGGGUGCUAGCGUUGUUCGGAAUCACUGGGCGUAAAGGGCGCGUAGGCGGCUUCAGGUGUCGGAUGUGAAAGCCCGGGGCUCAACCCCGGAGGUGCAUCCGAAACUCUGGAGCUGGAGGCCGGAAGAGGAGGGUGGAAUACCCAGUGUAGAGGUGAAAUUCGUAGAUAUUGGGUGGAACACCGGUGGCGAAAGCAGCCUCCUGGGCCAGCACUGACGCUCAUGCACGAAAGCGUGGGGAGCAAACAGG